rnacentral:lncRNA from 1 species
CUGCAGUAAUGGAAAAAGGCCAGAAUAAAUCAAGACCUCAUUGAAAAAGACAAGGAAAUAUUACAGGAACUAUUGAACCAAACCAAAUCUGAAAUAAGGCAUUCCUAUAAUUUAUGUCCAAGAGAAGGACUCAGAAAUCCUGAAUGAUAGAUAAUGCUUAUGAAGCUAUAGCUCUCUGUACUGAACUUAAGAUAGCACAAACUUAUGAAGAAGCUAUGGAGAGUCCUGAAGCUGAUAAAUUGAAUGUUCCAAUAAAGGAAGAGCUUGAUGCAUCAAUAAAGAAUAACUCAUGGAUUCUAUUGAUCGGUGUUAUACCAAGACCGAUCAAUAGAAACAUAAUAGAUUCAAAAAUGGGUAUUCAAAAUAAAAAAUUCUACAAAGGGAACAAUGCCUCG